rnacentral:misc_RNA from 1 species
ACCGACGAUAUGUGUGGGCUUUUUUCCCCCCGCACGGYGGGCCGGUUUCUUCAUCCUUAUCUCGCAUUCCGAAUCCGUGGUGCGGUAACANCCCUUAUAGGGAGCUUUAUCCCUGUUUGGGUUGGGCGAGUGGGAUCACGAUUUGUGACACCCACGGCAACAUGCCCGCCGCSRAAARGGUUGUUGCGCAACUUGCGUUCACCGACYCGAUGGCUCACGGGAUUCUGCUGCUCACAUUGGGAUUCAAAGUUCGCUACGUUCUUCAUCGAUGCAUGAGCCGGCUCUUCCGUUGCCGAGAGUCGUUUUAACUUUAAAUCCCAACGUGAAUUCCGCAAUCCCACCGACUCCGGAGAGGCGAACGCUGGUUGUUCCUUGCAUGUUCCUUGA